GAUGAACGCUGGCGGCGUGCCUAAUACAUGCAAGUCGAGCGAAGGGGGGACGGGUGAGUAAUACGUGGCUAACCUCCUAUAAGACUGGGAUAACUUCGGGAAACCGAAGCUCAACCCGUUACUUAUAGAUGGUUCCUGGUUGCAUUAGCUAGUUGGUACGGUAACGGCUUACCAAGGCUACGAUGCAUAGCCGACCUGAGAGGAUGAUCGGCCACACUGGAACUGAGACACGGUCCAGACUCCUACGGGAGGCAGCAGUGGGGAAUCUUCGGCAAUGGGCGAAAGCCUGACGGAGCAACGCCGCGUGAGUGAUGAAGGUCUUCGGAUCGUAAAACUCUGUUAUUAGGGAAGCGGUACCUAAUCAGAAGGCCACGGCUAACUACGUGCCAGCAGCCGCGGUAAUAC
rnacentral:rRNA from 1 species